GCAGAGGGGAUGUGGGCAGAGCUGGGGGGCUGUGGGCAGAGCUGGGGGGCUGUGGGCACAGGAAGCUGAAGGGCCAGCCUAACACCCUUUUCUCUGGUCACCCUUACCCCUGUAGAUGCUCUGCAUGCCUCUGGUGGUCCAUGGAGAGGAGCUGAGUGGGCACAGGGGUUUAUGAGGAGGGUCAGGGAGUUGGUGAGUGUCCUGCAGGGUGCUCCUAGCCCUGCUCCUGCCUCGGAGGCAGGGGGGAGCGCUGACAUCUGCCUGCCAGGCACCUGCCAGCCAUGGGCCCUGGCAGUGGGGGAACACAGGGAGCUGUGGGGAAGGAAGGGCCUGGGGUGGGUGAUGUUCCCAGGCUGGAAGUGCUGUUUAACUACUCAUCCUCCUCCCUGCUGUGUCCCCACACACGCUGCCUAUCAUGAAGAUCCCCAUGGGACUCCCAGUCUAGGAAGCAGAGGAGCAUUGCAAGUGAUAACUGGAGCCAAUUAAGCAGCUCUUUUGGAUGGUCAGUGCCUGUAGCUGUCCAGGGUCAUGGAGACCCCCGCUCCACCUCUCUGCUGAGCCACUGGUUGAGUUUGUGUCACUCCUGGCAACCAGGUUCAGACUGAGCUUUCUGUGCCUAAAGUUCUUUCUUGCUUGGCUCCACUUGGCUUGGCUUCCAAGGGUUGAGGCCCCUGUGCAUCCCUGCCUGUCCCAGGGGAGUGCUGCUCUGAGCUCCUGGAGCGGGAUCUGCAGUCUCUGGAGCCUUCAGCUACGUUUGUGUGUUUGUGUGUUGCUGUUGGCAGUUUUGUGCUUCGCUUGCUGGAAAUAUUGGUUAAACACUGGUGGGAGGGAAGCUCAUAAAGAACAUUUUGCUUUAGCUUUUUUAAAAAGCAAAACAAAAGCCAAAGGCUUUUAAAAAUGUAUUAGUUUCAAAGUUACAAAGGAAGGAUGUAUUAGAGAUGAGGAAAGAACAAAUCAAAGCUUCAGAAACUUGCUGUGGAGAAAGAAACAUAAAAUGUUUUGUUUGAAGAUGUACCGAAAGCUGAAAUCAGCAAAAUCUCCCCCUCCUCACAGCACAGAUGCUUCAGGUUGGUUCUUCCAGGAUGGCACACUGCUGAAAGAAAAGGAAAUCCAUUCUUUCCCCUCUUGGGGCUUCAGGCUCCUGGCACUUAGAUUUUACCAUCUUGUAGUGACUUUGAUCCCUGGAGACUCCUCAGAUGCCUUACAAACCAAGAAUGAAAAUCUGGGCUUAUCUGUCUAAGAAGUGUCACUGAAGCUGGGUGGGCCAGGGGGUCAGUGUGGUGCCACCCUCUUGGUGGCAGCUGGGAAGGUUGGGAAGCACCUGCUGACUCAAUAAGGUUUAUAAAACUUUCAGUGCCCAUACUGACACCAUUUGCAGGGAUGUUUUGUGCAUCCAGCCCUGGAAGCCCAGUGGCCAAUUUAAUCCCUAUUUCUCUCCCCUUUUCUGGUGGAGAUGAGAUGGUCCUUAAGGUCUCUUUCAACCCAACCCAACCCAUUCCAUGGUUCUGUGAGGCAACACAGACCUUCCAGACCUGAUCCAAGUCCCAGAGCUGAGCAAAGGCAGGAUGCUGCUGUGACCAGACCCCAUGGUGAUGGGCACACUGGUGCUAGGCAAGGGCAGACAGUCUGUCACAGCCUGUGCCUGUUCUCUGCCUCAGCCUAUGCCCGUGUUUACAGACCUAUGGAAUUCCAUUUUCAGACAAGGUCUACUGUGAGCCUGAAAGCUGAAUUCCCUUGGAUGUGCCUGAGGGUUCUUGAGAGUCUGGCUGCCAGAGAUCAGGUCCUGGAUUACAGGCAGGUGGGGAGCAGUGCUGGGGCUGCUCUAGGCACCAGUUGCUGGAGGCAUCCAAGUGGGUGCUGCCAAUGGAAGUGCCACAUCCCUGCCCAUGGGGACAGCUGUGCAGAGCACAGGAGCCAGCUUGUCCCCUGUAGGAGAGGAGACACCCUGCUACUCCUACAAAGGCUGGCAGAAGGUCCUCUCCCCAUGUAAGAAGCAGGAGGAUCCCCAGCCCUGCCCAGGCAAAGCCUGGUCCCCCUGGCUCCUAGCCUGGAGGCCAUGGGCAGGGCCAGCCCUGCAGUGGGGCUCUGCAUCCUCCUCCCACACAGAGGGCAGGAAAAGGAAAGCACAGCCCUGAUCCGUACUGCUUAUGGACAUCAGUGAUGGCCCUGCUCCACAAGCAUCGGGGAUGGGCAGGGGAACUGACUAUAAAACCAGGAAAAAUAGACAAACCUGUCUGGGUGCCACACACGGCACUGUGGGAGGUGCCUGUGAUGUCAGCAGGAGACUCGCCCUGGCCUGGGGCUGCUCUUGGCAAGGCAUCUGGGAAGUGCCUCUGAGGCAAGAAAGCAAGCACUUGCCAGGUACAGAACUGGACAGAUCAAGAAGUCAAAAUUUUUCAUUCCAACUAUCUAUAGGAAAUAGGGUUUUUUUAUUAUUUCAAGUUUUCAUAAAAAUCCAUAAUUAUUGAAAUCAAAGUUACAGAAGAAAGUU